AAUUUCCUAACAAUCAUAUCCCAUAGUCAAACAUUAUAUUGUGUGCAAAUACAUUUACAAUGGAGUUGCAUCACCAAUAUUAUUUCUUCACAUUUUUUUCUGUAAUUUUUGUGGUAAGUCAUGCAGCAAAUUUAUCUCCUGAGGUGUAUUGGAGAGUCAAAUUGCCCAAUACUCCCAUGCCCACACCUAUCAAAGAUGCACUACACAUUUCUGAGAACGAGCUUCACAAAGUACGCCAACCAUUUGGAGUGUUUGGAUGGUAUCAGGCUGCCUCCGAGAAUGAGCUUCACAAAGUACGUCAACCAUAUGGAGUGUUUGGAUGGUAAAAUGAUGCUGCUAAGAAAGAUCUUAAUGACAAUCACCCAGUGACGCCAUACUUCUUUGAAACAGAUUUACAUCAAGGGAAAAAAAUGAAUCUUCAGUCUCUCAAAAACUACAAUCCAGCACCCAUUUUGCCACGCAAAGUUGUAGAUUCCAUCGCUUUCUCAUCGGACAAAAUUGAGGAAAUUCUUAAUCACUUCUCUGUUGAUAAGGACUCAGAACGUGCUAAAGACAUCAAGAAAACAAUCAAAACGUGUGAAGAGCCUGCGGGUAACGGAGAGGUAAAACAUUGUGCCACUUCUUUGGAAUCUAUGAUUGAUUUCACCUUAUCUCACCUGGGAACAAACAAUAUUAUAGCAAUGUCCACUGAAGUAGAGAAGGAAACUCCAGAGGUGCAAGCAUAUACCAUCGAAAAAGUGGAAGAGAAAGCAAAUGGCAAAGGUGUUGUAUGUCACAAAGUAGCUUACCCAUAUGCAGUACACUUUUGCCAUGAUGUAGGAAGCACUAGGACAUUUAUGGUGUCUAUGGUGGGUGCUGAUGGAACAAAAGUUAAUGCAGUAUCAGUCUGCCAUGAGGAUACUGCAUCCAUGAACCCUAAGGCAUUGCCUUUUCAGUUGCUCAACGUUAAGCCUGGAGACAAGCCUAUUUGCCAUUUCACUUUGGACGAUCAAAUUGCCCUGUUUCCUUCUCAAAACGCAGUUCUUCAAGUGGCUGAAAACUAACAUGAAGAACGUUCAGUCAUUACCUGCUCCUUUGUUGCAAUAGUCCCAAUGCUUCAUCUGAAAAUGUAUCUCCCUGAUGUAAAUACUGUUUAUUGCAAUGUUUUGUGUAAUAAUGCUUGCCCUGAUGCAAGUACUGUUUAACUGUGUUAAUCAUAGUUCAUCAUGCACGUUGUUUGCAUGUGUGGAUGAAAAUGUUUGGCUUGUAUUUCAAAUAUGGUUGAUGAAUAUAUGUGGUAAUGGAGAUUAUGACA